rnacentral:rRNA from 1 species
GACGAACGCUGGCGGCGUGCUUAACACAUGCAAGUCGAACGGAAAGGCCCUGCUUUUGUGGGGUGCUCGAGUGGCGAACGGGUGAGUAACACGUGAGUAACCUGCCCUUGACUUUGGGAUAACUUCAGGAAACUGGGGCUAAUACCGGAUAGGAGCUCCUGCUGCAUGGUGGGGGUUGGAAAGUUUCGGCGGUUGGGGAUGGACUCGCGGCUUAUCAGCUUGUUGGUGGGGUAGUGGCUUACCAAGGCUUUGACGGGUAGCCGGCCUGAGAGGGUGACCGGCCACAUAGGGACUGAGAUACGGCCCAGACUCCUACGGGAGGCAGCAGUGGGGAAUAUUGCACAAUGGGCGGAAGCCUGAUGCAGCAACGCCGCGUGCGGGAUGACAGCCUUCGGGUUGUAAUCCGCUUUCGCCUGUGACGAAGCGUGAGUGACGGUAAUGGGUAAAGAGGCACCGGCUAACUACGUG